GGUAUCAACCCAGAAUACAUGUUGGGGAGGAGCCCCCCUUCUACCUUUAAAAUGGGUAAUUUUUCAUAAUUUCAUGGCUUCGGCUUCGUCAAGAGAGCCCCCCUCUGAUAAAUUUAGUCCUACAGCACUAGUAAAAAGCAAGAAAAUACACCAAUAUUCAAACCU